CCUACGGAAGGCAGCAGUAGGGAAUCUUCGGCAAUGGACGAAAGUCUGACCGAGCAAAGCCGCGUGAGUGAAGAAGGUCUUCGGAUCGUAAAACUCCGUUGUUAGAGAAGAACAAGGACGUUAGUAACUGAACGUCUCCUGACGGUAUCUAACCAGAAAGCCACGGCUAACUACGUGCCAGCAGCCGCGGUAAUACGUAGGUGGCAAGCGUUGUCCGGAUUUAUUGGGGGUAAAGCGAGCGCAGGCGGUUUCUUAAGUCUGAUGUGAAAGCUCCCGGCUCAACCGGGGAGGGUCAUUUGAAACUGGGAGACUUGAGUGCAGAAGAGGAGAGUGGAAUUCGAGGUGUAGCGGUGAAAUGCGUAGAUAUAUGGAGGAACACCGGUGGCGAAGGCGGCUCACUGGUCUGUAACUGACGCUGAGGCUCGAAAGCGUGGGGAGCAAACAGGAUUAGAUACCCGAGUAGUC
rnacentral:rRNA from 1 species